GAUGAACGCUGGCGGCGUGCCUAAUACAUGCAAGUCGAGCGAACGGACGAGAAGCUUGCUUCUCUGAUGUUAGCGGCGGACGGGUGAGUAACACGUGGAUAACCUACCUAUAAGACUGGGAUAACUUCGGGAAACCGGAGCUAAUACCGGAUAAUAUUUUGAACCGCAUGGUUCAAAAGUGAAAGACGGUCUGGCUGUCACUUAUAGAUGGAUCCGCGCUGCAUUAGCUAGUUGGUAAGGUAACGGCUUACCAAGGCAACGAUGCAUAGCCGACCUGAGAGGGUGAUCGGCCACACUGGAACUGAGACACGGUCCAGACUCCUACGGGAGGCAGCAGUAGGGAAUCUUCCGCAAUGGGCGAAAGCCUGACGGAGCAACGCCGCGUGAGUGAUGAAGGUCUUCGGAUCGUAAAACUCUGUUAUUAGGGAAGAACAUAUGUGUAAGUAACUGUGCACAUCUUGACGGUACCUAAUCAGAAAGCCACGGCUAACUACGUG
rnacentral:rRNA from 1 species